AUUGGUCUGGACGCAUCAGAGGGUCGGGAACCCGAGUGCCUAGCUGACAGAUGUGCCCGGGGCGGAGAGGGAGGGUCUGCCUGGUCUCUGCGCUCCCAGUCCAAGGCUGCCACAGCAUUUACCAUUUAACCCACUGAUUUGAAAUAAAAUUCUUCCUUUUAGUCGCUAGUCAUCCGCCUGGGGUUUUUCUCCCCUUUCCUGUUAGGACACAGGGGCAUUUCCAGCCUCUGCUUUCAAAGGGAGCAUCCAGGAACAGUAAGGAGAAGCAGGGAGGGUGAAGACGCUCAUGCCCCCUCCCCGGGGGCUGGACGCUUGUUCCUCCGUCACCACUCCCUAGAAGAGGGAGUGCCCGGGUGGGCGGAGCCAGCAGCCUUCCUGCCUGGGCGGGGCCAAAUGGUCCACAGAUGUCUGGGUGUGCCUACUUCUGAGAGGCAGCGGCUUCCCAGCUGGGAUCUUCUCCUAGGAGCCCAUCUAUGGCUUUUCAGUAGGGUGACUUCAGGAGAGAGGAAAGAACCCACUGUCCCUGCAUAGAUGGAGAAGUUGGCAAUCAUCUGAUUCCUGCUGAGUUGCCUUAGCUCCGCUCACUUUAUAUCCUCACAUCGAUAGCUGGUCACCAGACGUGUAAAUACAUGUAUACAGAUGAGGAAUCUGCAACAAAAAGUCGUCUGUAUGAUAAUCAGCUCUCAGCUUCUGGGUUUCUGCAUUUUAUGCAGUUUCCAGCUAUGAAAAAAUGCAGGAUUCCACUACACAAAGUGAAACAGUUGUGCUCUUUAAAUGGUUUGUCAUGAAACCUCUGCUGUAUGUUUUUGGGAAUGUCCGUGACUAACUGUAUAUAUGGUAUGUAAGAGACGAUGCUGUUAAUGUUGCAUAAACUAACACAGAUUCUGUAGUCAAAAAUAUUUAACUUGUUAUUGUAAAAUGUGAUUUGUCAUUGAGAGAUUAUUUUUCUGUAUGUAUAUGAGAGUAUUUUAGGAAUCUAAUUUAAGUGCAUAAAACUAUAGAAAAAAAUUUAAAAACCUAUUCCUGGAGUAGAAAAUGCUUAAUCAGAUUACUUGGGUUCAACCCAACUAAAUUUCUCACAUUAAAAAGAAAAUCCAAGUGCAUAUGUUAGAAAUUCAAAGAAAUCAUUUUGGGGGCAGGGAAUAUGACGAAUUUGAAUGAAAUGGUGGUAGUGUGAUAAUAUAAAAGUAUCCUCUAGCCAUGACCUCAGGUGAGACCUUGGUGUUUCAUUAAAAACUGGUUUAAACAAGCAACAUAUCCUGGAGGGUGGUUGUGUCAGGAAAGAUGAGAGGAUUGACAGCCUGUUUCUCAUCUGGUCCAGGUGCCACAGAAGCUUCCAUGGGUUCUGGUGGGUUGGGCUGGAAUCCAGGGUUGACCCAGCCAUCCCUCUAGAGAGUUCUGAAUGUGGGAGGGAGGCCACCCUCUGACUUCCAGGUCAGCUUUAUCGUUCUUUUUCUGGAUAGAUUCAGCAUAUCCCUUUGGUGUUUUCAUUUUCAAUGAAAUUUCCUGGGGCAGCUUCACCAUCUUCACCUGUUGCACAGGUAUGUGGGUUGAAGGAUGAAGUUUGGGGGUUUCGGGUUAAGCUGUUUCUGGGCACACAAAACAGGCAAAACAGAGCAGCCUCCUGAAUGCCCGUGUCCCAGAUGGAGACCCCAGGGGCAAGAGUCCUUUCUCCUGCUCCCCUUCCCAGAAAAGGAUCAGAAAUCCAGGCUUCUUCUGGGGCCCAGAUUUUGCCACCAGAAGUGUUCCUGCAGGCCACCUAAGGAUGGAAUGCAAAAUUCCAUGAAACUCAACGUCUAAACCCCUGAGAGAUGCAAUCGGAAGUCAUUUCAGGAGGUGGCAACCCCAGGGGUCCGGCCUCCCGGAACAGGCCAGAAAUGGUGCAGAGAGGAAAAGAGUGAGAUGGGGUCCCUGCAUGUGGAUCACCGUUUGUGGACAGUUGAGGGCUGAUGGCUAGAAAGGCAUGUGGGGAGUGAGAGCAUUAGGUUUUCAACAUUUUUUUUCCAACAAGCUUUGUGCUUCUUGACGCUGCCAGCAACAGUUGAAGUCCCUUUUUUGAUGGGCCUGAACUUGGCAAACACUAGAGUCAGAGUGACUUCCUGGACUUCAGGGGUGCGGGGAGCUUUCCAGAAGCUUCUGUGAAUCUGUUGUCAUACCAGUAAUCUGCACAUCACCUUGAGGAACUGUCCGUGUGGCCUGUAACUGACUUUAUUCCCAAAGAUGGAGCCGUUUAGCAAUCUCCUUGUUCGAGCAUAGCCUGGGAAGACGAUCUCACAUCAGCCAGCAGAACCAGACGAGCGAUGGUCCGCCCACCCAGACCAGGUCCUGACCCUUCUUUCUCAGCACCACGCCCUCCUGGCUGGGGGAGCAACGGGGCUGUGAGUGGGAAUAAGUCAGUCAGUCAACUGUCCCCUGGGCCCCCAUUGUUCCAGAAACGUUUGGGGACAAGAGAAGCCAGAAGAACAUGGGUCUCCUGCCCGGCAGCAUCUGCUGCCCACUCCAGUUAGCCGUUGCCUGUUUGGAAAGAAUGUAUCAAUCCUCACAUGAGUCCCUUGUGUUUGCAGUGACAAAUGGGUCACAGUGCUGGUGGCAUAUUGCUCCUGUCACAGCCCUGCCCAGGGGUGGGACGAAGCCACCUCCCCAGUGGAUGUCCUGUUGACUGUAAUAUACUUCUGUUGCCAAAUAAUGGUACUGUUUAAUUUUCCGUAAAAGGGAGACUAUAUUGUCUGAUAUGUGAUGUCAAUGGAGCUCUAAAAAUUACUAAACACUAUUAUAAAUUGUAGAAUUAUGUCUUUGUCUAAGGUUUGAUGAAGCGGGGCCAAAACAUUAGGCUUAUUUUUCUGUUUGAAAGAAGCUGAGAUCAGUUUUGCCGUUCGAGUGUUCCUUUGGCACCUUAUUAUGUAGGAAAUGUUCAAUUUUACCGAUUCAGAUGACGGUAACUGAGUUUUGUUUUUGUUUUUGUUUUCGUUUUUCUUUAAACCAGUAGUGGCAUCAGUACAGAUUGUUACUCCUGUGUAUCUUGAACCUGAACAGAACAAUCUCUUCAAAACCACUCUUUGGUCAUUUCGACCUGUACGGUUUAAAGUCACAUCGUUCAUGAAUAAAAUGAGAAAAGCCGUCCCUGUGACAGUGGAUUAUUUUGGGUUCUCUCUGCCCCACCUCCUCUCUGCGCAGACAGGAAACCCGUAGUCCUGUGAACGGCAUCCCCGUCUGUGUGUUUCCUUCUCCCACAGAUAAGGCAGUAGCUGUGGAAGGAAAAUUAUGCAAAAACAAACUUAAAAAAUCAACCAAACCAACAACCCUAUCAGCUCUCCCGUGCCUUCUUCAGACAGAUGUCAGCACCGAGCGGAAGUCGAUCUCCCUGUGCCAGGCACCAUUUCUGAAAAUGUGAGAAGGUCUGUGUGGUGUAGGGUAAGGAAUGCCAGGCGUGGUGAGGGGCGAGCAGAAAGCUGAGAUUGUCUUACAAAGGACAUUCAGAAGGAUCAUUCUGGCUUUCCUCAAGGAAGUUUCCAACACAGACAACUCUGCGUAUUUAGAACUUUGACUUUUACCUCUGGGCACCAUUAGUAAACCCAACACUGAAUUUUGUUGUUACCUGAAUUUGGGUGUAUAACUUAGAGCAUUUUCCUCUGUUCUGGUUUUAAGGUAGUUCCCCUCUUAUUUCAUCGCUGAUUUAUCUUAAUAUGAACAAGUCUUUUAAAUGGUCUAGUUGGCUUGGAUACUAGUUAAAUUGUUACAGCACAUUUUAAAAAAUUUGACACUAACGCAGUGUAUCUUUGCCUUCUUUUAAACUGGUAGGCCCCAUUUUUGAUAAACAUAGAAAUCUUAUGCCCUUUUCCUCAUUGUUAUUUGAAGUUUUAAAAAUAAAUUAAAUGUCAUUAAAAUCAAAGAAAUAAUAAGUUACCUUCCCAAAUUACACCUCGUUUUCUCCGAGAUUGACAAGAUUCCCCGCGGCACAGCUCGGCGGGUGGAAGCAGUCACUGGUAUAAAACACGGUGAAUAGAGACCUCCAAUACGAAGGCAAUAAAAUCACCUGACGGGGAUGUUCUUCCACACAAAAUAAAUGUUAACGUUUUGAUGCGCAUCACGCCUGUAGUUUUUCUGCGUGUGCACACGUGUGUUUUAGAUGCUUUUGCACUAUUCAAUAGCUAAUAUGCAUUGAGCCCUUCCCAUGUGCAAGGCACAGUUCAUUUACAUAAUUUAUAUAAUUCAUCUCACAUUUUGUUUUCUUUCUUUCAAAUCAGC
rnacentral:lncRNA from 1 species